UACGUAGGGGGCAAGCGUUGUCCGGAUUUACUGGGCGUAAAGAGCGCGUAGGCGGACGUUUAAGUGUGGCCUGAAAGCCCCCGGCUCAACCGGGGAUCCGGGUUGCAAACUGGACGUCUUGAGGGGGGGAUAGGGGAAGGUGGAAUUCCUGGUGUAGCGGUGAAUGCGUAGAGAUCAGGAGGAACACCCGUGGCUAAGGCGGCUCUCUAGUACGGUACUGACGCUGAGACGCGAAAGCGUGGGGAGCGAACAGG
rnacentral:rRNA from 1 species